GACGAACGCUGGCGGCGUGCUUAACACAUGCAAGUCGAACGGGCCUUGUCCCCUUUUUUUUGGGGGUGGGGUUAGUGGCGAACGGGUGAGUAACACGUGAGUAACCUGCCCCACACUUCUGGAUAACCGCUUGAAAGGGUGGCUAAUACGGGGUGUCCUGGCCUGCUCGCAUGGGUGGGUUUGGAAAGAUUCGACCGGUAUUGGAUGAUAUGGUGGGGGGUGGGCUCGCGGCCUAUGAGCUUGUUGGGGGGGUGAUGGCCUGCCAAGGCUUUGACGGAUAGGCGCUCUGAGAGGGUGCGCGGUCACACUGAGAGUGACACGCGGCACAGUCUUCUACGAGAGGCAGCAGUGGAGACUACUGCACUAGGGGCGCACGUCUGAGGGAGCCGCGGCGCGUGAGAGAUGGGGGUCCUGGGGGUGAGACCCUGUUUCGCGAGUAAAGAAGGUCCGGCUCUUUGUGGUGUGGUUGAGGGGAUCUCGGUUAAGGAAGCGCCGGCUAACUACGUG
rnacentral:rRNA from 1 species